UACGUAGGGUGCGAGCGUUGUCCGGAAUUAUUGGGCGUAAAGGGCUCGUAGGUGGCCAACUAAGUCAGACGUGAAAUCCCUCGGCUUAACCGGGGAACUGCGUCUGAUACUGGAUGGCUUGAGAUUGGGAGAGGGAUGCGGAAUUCCAGGUGUAGCGGUGAAAUGCGUAGAUAUCUGGAGGAACACCGGUGGCGAAGGCGGCAUCCUGGACCAACACUGACACUGAGGAGCGAAAGCCAGGGGAGCAAACGGG
rnacentral:rRNA from 1 species